UCCCUGGUAGCUCAGAUGGUAAAGCAUCUGCCUGCAAUGCAGGAGACCUGGGUUCGAUCCCUGGGUCGGGAA
rnacentral:tRNA from 1 species